AGGGGAGAUUGUGGAGUGAUUGAUUAAAACCCCAUUUGAUUUUGAUGAGCUCAAAGCAUUUGAGUAUAUCUUUUGAUUACUAAUGAAUUCAAUUGAGUGUUUCAGUGAAAAUCCUGUCUAAGUGUCCCAAGACUUGGUUCAUAAUUUUUGGAUAAGUUAAGGAGUCUGUUUGAACCAAUGUCUGAGACUCGAGUCGACUCCCGAGUAUCACGAGUCGACUCCAAGCGUAUCAAGUUCACUGGCACAAGCUCGAGUCGACUCCAGAUCAGUACGAGUCGACUCCGACUGAGAACAUAAAGAAGAACAGAAAGCUUCAUCUCAGAACCUGUCAACGAGUCGACUCCUGAAGUGCGCGAGUCGACUCCAUUGUUCACCGAGUCGACUCCAGGGAAGUAAGAGUCGACUCCAAGCAGUCACAGGCAGAAAAGUCAGAGAGCAGUUUUCGGGUCUGAGAUUCGAGUCGACUCCAGUGGAAUGCGAGUCGACUCCGAUGGUGGGCAGGUCGACUCCAAAGAA
rnacentral:lncRNA from 1 species